rnacentral:rRNA from 1 species
GACGUAGGGCACGAGCGUUGUCCGGAUUUAUUGGGCGUAAAGAGCUCGUAGGCGGCUUGUCGCGUCGACUGUGAAAUCCCGCGGCUCAACUGCGGGUCUGCAGUCGAUACGGGCAGGCUAGAGUUCGGUAGGGGAGAGUGGAAUUCCUGGUGUAGCGGUGAAAUGCGCAGAUAUCAGGAGGAACACCGGUGGCGAAGGCGGGUCUCUGGGCCGAUACUGACGCUGAGGAGCGAAAGCGUGGGGAGCGAACAGG